UUGUGCCUCUCAUUCAUCAUUCCUUUACUAGAACAUACCUGAUAACAUAUUCUCUGAAAAGAAGAAAAAAUUGUAGUAAUACUGCCUCUUGUGUGUUUUUAUCUUUUAUUGUUAAGCCGUGUAAGCCCCAUUUAGAGGCGCCGGUGGCUGCCGGCCCUCCUCUUGGUGGGGCGCCGGGAUCCCCCAGCCGAGCGAUUCCUGCCCCGGCCGCGAGAGGAGGAGCCGCGGCUGCGGCCCUGCUCAGAGGGACCGGCUGCCUCGGAACCCGGCUCGCCGGGACCUCUGCCGAGGGCCCCGCUGGACGUGCCGGGGAGCUCCUCCGCGUCGGGACCCGCGGAGCUGCCGGAGGGAGAGGUGCUGGGGGCAACGGUCCCCUGAGGAGAUGUGGAGGGACCAGACGGGGCUGGGGGGCCAUCCUCGUGCUCCUGGGCAGCACUGGGCUCUUCGGGCCCGUCCUCCUGCUCCUGGGCAGCGCUGGCAUCUUCGAGGCCCAGCAGCCUCCGGGCCUCCUGGCCGCACCGGCUCACGAUGACUUCGAUGAGCGCGUCCAUGAAUGCUGCCGUGAUAGGUCCCAGGGUGGGCUGUGCGUGGUACACCAGGGCAUCCCUGUUCAGCCCCACUCGGCACAGAAGAGCCAGGAUCACACUCUCCAGCCCACAGAUCUGCCACCAGGGCAGCUCCUGGAUCUGGGAGAAGAUGUCCUGUAUCCAGGGCUGCACUGGGAAGAGGAGGUCACGUCUCUCCCUGAAGAGUGCUGCCCACUCCUCGGGCAGGAGGCCACCCACUCUCGCUGCUCCCACAUCCCUCUGCACAGCUGGCAGUGGAGCAGAUGCCGCAGCGCCUCUGCGGCCGGUGGUGGUGCUGAAGCUGACGGGCACCGGCACUGCGGGCGGGGAGACGAUGCAGUCCACGAACUGAUUGUCUCCCCGCACGCAGACCCGGAUGGUCCGCAUGGCCGUCCUGCACAGCGGGCAGCUGUCCCUCAGCUUCGCCCACCGAUGGAUGCAGCCCAGGCAGAAUGUGUGAUUACAUGGAAUUGCAUGGGCCACGUCCUGUCGCACAUCGCGACAGAUGGAACAUGUCCACUCCUCUCCUGCAGACAUGUUCCUCUCGCUGCAGCUGUCCGGGAGAACUGAGGAUGACGAGCUGUUCUCCUUCACCAGAGCUGCAGCGGUGGUGUCUCACUGCAAGAGGAAGAGAGGCCACAGUCACUCGCUGUUGUCCCAGGGUGUGAAAGUCCUCAGCAGGAAGCCCUGCCAAGCCCAGGACUGGGCCGUCUCGUGCUCCCCGCUGGCACAAGGCCGGGCUCCCCACGGCUGCCCUGAGGGACCCACAUGUCCCCGCACCACUCACCUCCGCUGCUGCGGGUGCACUCAGUAGAGUCCCAGCUGCCUGCACUGGGCAGGGCCGGGGAAACAGAAGCGAUGCUGUGGGUCAGGCACUGAGAUGCUGCGAGCAGCCCCAGGCACGACCCAGCACAGCACAGCCAAAACCUUGCUCGAAGAACCUCCAAGCCUCGCAGAGCUGCUCAGCAGGGUCCAGGAACGAGCCAGACUGAGCCAGGCUCUGCCCGCACCCCACUAUGAGCAGUGAGGGCUGAGCAGUCACAAUCCGUCACCCGGUGAUGUCACAGCCUGUUGCUGGGGGUCAUCACCAUGGGCUGUCCGCCCACACAGCACCCCAGUUUCAAGAUGCUAUUUUCUUUUCCUGUUCCUAAUUGGCUGUACCUUCCUUUUCAUUCCAGUCCACCUUUUAUGCAUUACAAUUGACACUAAUACAUAGAACUUUUAUUUGAUUAGAUCAACUCAUAUACAUCCUCUGUUUCUUCAGUAAUAAACUGUAGGUUUUUCACUAGUGUGUUACA
rnacentral:lncRNA from 1 species